GCCCCAGGGUGAGGGCUGGCUGGCUUGGGACAGGGAUUGCAGGGAUUUAUCCCAGACUCUCGACUUCUUCUAGCUCCAUCAGGUGGCCUCACUUGGGCAUUUAUCGAAUUCAGCUGCAAACUCGUGUUCGUGGUGACUGGAUUCAUCCUGGCCUAUUACCUCACCCUGCUCUAUUACAGAUGGACACCCUGCUGCUGUUGUGGAAGCAGAAGGAAGGACCGGCCGGGAGCCCGGGAAUCCAGAAUGCCUGAGUCUGGCAUGCAGAUCAGGCCGUUCCUCAGCCACCAAAGUGUCGACAAGAAAUUGGAAUUUUACGGGACUGAGGAAAUGGAGGAUGAGACCUCAGCUGGGGGGACUGCCACUCCAAGUGAGGCCAACGGGCCCAUCUAGCCUGAUAUCCUGCCCCCUCCCUUCCCUCUGAAUCAGACCCAUGGGCCUGCAAAGCACGUGGAAACUGCCUGUAAUAUUUAUAUGACCAUGUGAUGUUAUUAAUAUGAAUUGUGAUCAUACAGAUCACUUUUGCAACCAAGGUCAUAUAGUGGCAUCAAAUCUUGUACAAAGGAGAUCAAGUAAGGUGUCUAUGAGGAGGUUAGGAUUUCCUGGUUAUGAUUGUGCUUUCUGUAUGCAGGUGUCAUUUUUGUAUUUAAAAUUAUAAAUAUUGGCUCUAUCCUGUCUGUAUUUCAAACUUGUGCCGUGCUACUGGGUGACACCUCACACAAUUUGGCAUCAGCACUAGCUAGCCUGCUUGAUGGCCCAUUAAGGACCAUCAACUAUACAAUUGACCCAUUGAGAGAAGGCAGAUACACCUUGUGACUCAGCAAGGCAUGCAGGGACAUGCCUAGGGACAGAAAUCUAAAGUUUUCUGUGCUGGGUAGCUUGUGUUUGGAACAAAGGAAGCAGAACCCACAUGGCAAAAGAACUAUAAAAGGCAGCUGCAUCAUUUCCAUUGUGUCUUCAAUCCUGCUUCUUACCUUUGAAGGAAAUUUGCUACACCAAAACUCUGAACAAAGGACUGAAUGACCCAUCCCAGCUGGGGAUGUUCCAGAGACUUGAUUUGAGCCUGCAGUUUAUUCCAUCACUGCUACAAGCCUGAACCAAGAACUUUGUCAUUUCUGUAUGUAAUUGAUUCCAUUUAACCAAUUCUAGCGCUCAUCUGUAUUUCUUUCUUUUUAUGAAUAAACCUUUAGAUUUUAGAUUCUAAAGGAUUGGA
rnacentral:lncRNA from 1 species